ensembl:lncRNA
GUAGCCUAGUGGUUAGAGCGUUGGACUAGUAACCAGCAGGUAGCCUAGUGGUUAGAGCGUUGGACUAGUAACCAGCAGGUAGCCUAGUGGUUAGAGCGUUGGACUAGUAACCAGCAGGUAGCCUAGUGGUUAGAGCGUUGGACUAGUAACCAGCAGGUAGCCUAGUGGUUAGAGCGUUGGACUAGUAACCAGCAGGUAGCCUAGUGGUUAGAGUGUAGGACUAGUAACCAGCAGGUAGCCUAGUGGUUAGAGUGUAGAGGUGGCAGGUAGCCUAGUGGUUAGAGUGUAGAGGCGGCAGGUAGCCUAGUGGUUAGAGUGUAGAGGCGGCAGGUAGCCUAGUGGUUAGAGUGUAGAGGCGGCAGGUAGCCUAGUGGUUAGAGUGUAGAGGCGGCAGGUAGCCUAGUGGUUAGAGUGUAGAGGCGGCAGGUAGCCUAGUGGUUAGAGCGUAGAGGCGGCAGGUAGCCUAGUGGUUAGAGCGUAGAGGCGGCAGGUAGCCUAGUGGUUAGAGCGUAGAGGCGGCAGGUAGCCUAGUGGUUAGAGCGUUGGACUAGUAACCAUAA